GCAGCCACUCAUUCAAAGAGUGCGUAAUAGCUCACUGGUCGAGUGAUCCUGCGCCGAAGAUUUCCGGGGCUAAAACUUACUACCGAAGCUACGGCAUCAGUAAUGAUGGGUAGGGGAGCUUCCCAUACGGGUUGAAGCAUGACCGUAAGGACAUGUGGACAGUAUGGGAGUGAGAAUGUUGGCAUGAGUAGCGAGAUGUGGGUGAGAAUCCCACAGGCCGUAAACCCAAGGUUUCCAGGGGAAGGUUCGUCCGCCCUGGGUUAGUCGGGACCUAAGCUGAGGCCGAAAGGCGUAGGUGAUGGACAACAGGUUGAUAUUCCUGUACUACCGAUAACCGUUUGAGAGAAGGGAUGACACAGUAGGAUAAGCUAAGCACACUGUUGGUUAUGUGUGCCCAAGCAUUGAGGCAGUCAAAGUAGGCAAAUACGCUUUGAUAAUGCUGGGAUGUGAUGGGGAGCGAAAUUUAGUAGCGAAGUAGCUGAUUUCACACUGUCAAGAAAAGUCUCUAACGAGGGUAAAGGUACCCGUACCGCAAACCGACACAGGUGGGUGAGGAGAGUAUCCUAAGGCCAGCGAGAGAACUGUUGUUAAGGAACUCGGCAAAAUGACCCCGUAACUUAGGGAUAAGGGGUGCCACCAUCAGGUGGCCGCAGAGAAUAGGCCCAAGCGACUGUUUACCAAAAACAUAGGUUUCUGCUAAGUCGCAAGACGAUGUAUAGGAGCUGACGCCUGCCCGGUGCUGGAAGGUUAAGGGGAUCUGUUAGAGCAAUCGAAGCAGUGAACUUAAGCC
rnacentral:rRNA from 1 species